ensembl:misc_RNA
GAGGACCCCAGGGCCGGAGCCCCCGCCUGGCUCUUGGCUAGGCUGCUGCGGGGAUUUAGAUUCGAAAAGAGCUUCCGGAGG